rnacentral:misc_RNA from 1 species
AAGUCGUAACAAGGUUUCCGGUAGGUGAACCUGCGGAAGGAUCAUUAAUGAAAUGUGUUGCCGGGGCCCAUAAUCCCGGCACUAACCUUCUUAAUCCAUCAACACCUGUGCACUGUUGGAUGCUUGCAUCCACUUUUAUACUAAACAAUUUUGUAACAAAUGUAGUCUUAUUAUAAAUUAAUAAAA